GACGAACGCUGGCGGCGUGCUUAACACAUGCAAGUCGAACGGAAAGGCCCUGCUUUUGUGGGGUGCUCGAGUGGCGAACGGGUGAGUAACACGUGAGUAACCUGCCCUUGACUUUGGGAUAACUUCAGGAAACUGGGGCUAAUACCGGAUAGGAGCUCCUGCUGCAUGGUGGGGGUUGGAAAGUUUCGGCGGUUGGGGAUGGACUCGCGGCUUAUCAGCUUGUUGGUGGGGUAGUGGCUUACCAAGGCUUUGACGGGUAGCCGGCCUGAGAGGGUGACCGGGCACAUUGGGACUGAGAUACGGAGCAGACGCCUACGGGAGGCAGCAGGGGGGAAUAUUGCACAAUGGGCGGAAGCCUGAUGCAGAAACGCCGCGUGCGGGAUGACGGGCUUCGGGUUGUAAACAGCUUUCGCCUGUGACGAAGAGGGAGUGACGGUAAUGGGUAAAGAAGCACCGGCUAACUACGUG
rnacentral:rRNA from 1 species